AUGAGACAAAAGAUCUUCUUUCUAAAGAGAUUCGAUUUGGAACUCUUAUAUAGGUUUUCCCUUACUUUGUCCAUGUCAACAAACAAUUCGAAAUACCUCGACUUUUUCAGAACAGGUUCGAGUCAAAUAGCGAUGAUUCGAAGCACUUCUUUUUCCAUUACACUAUUUCGGAAACCUAAGGACGAUCGUAUGGAUAUGGAAAAUACAGGAUUUCUGAUCCUAGCGGGGAAAGGAGGGAAACGGAUACUCAAUUUAAAGUGA
rnacentral:rRNA from 1 species